rnacentral:lncRNA from 1 species
AAAUAUAUUUCAUAACAGCAAUAAUAAAUCUCUCAGUUGAGGUUUCCACAGAGAUCUAAACCGUCCUUCAGGUAUUAAUCUGACACAUGCUAAGACAUAAGCAUAAACCUAUCAGUUUCAGUGGUUUAUGUAAUUAGAUGGAGCUUUAUUUCUUGGAGUAACAAGAAACUAAAAGAUUCGUCAAACGUUUUACAGAAAGAAAUUAAUUAGAGAAAUUGACUCCUUCCCCAUGAUUAAUCAUCCACUUCAUACUGAAAUUUUUCAUAAAACCCUUCAUUUCUACACCAUAAUUUCACAGAGGAAGAAACAAUAAAUAUGAAGAGUUACGGAAACGUUACGGGAAUGAAAGAUGCAUGGCUAACUCUAGCUGCAGGUCUUGAGAAGGUAAGGAGAAGCACUAUGGCCUGCAAGCUUCAAUUUUUUGUAAAGAAGGUUAAAAAUUUUGCGUUUAAUGCUUCCUCUGACUGGCGGCAAAAGGAUUCUCUUCUUGUCAUUCCUUCUGGCAACUACUGCUCUUUGGGAUAGAUUUGUUAAUCCCAUGAUCUCAGAUAUUAUUAUCCUUCUGUCCAUUUCGAGGGAGGGAGGGAGAGGGAGAGAGUUUGCGUGAG